GGAUGUGAAGGCAGUAUGGCUGUGACAUGUCAGCCCUUUGAUCAUCCAUGCUGAUGCAGCUGAUCUGGUGGGCUCAACGGGUAACCUCUUUCUCCCUCACAGCUCCAGGUGCAUCCUUCUCAAAGCUACAUGCUGGGGGGGGGGCACCCACCGUCAUAGAGAGGAGGGCUGUUUCUUUGGUCAAAGGUAUAUGAAUAUCCUGUAGUACUCCCACGAUCUUGUUUUGACUGAUUAGACUCUGUUCCAUUCUAUAUGAUAGUAUCAAGUUUGAA
rnacentral:sRNA from 1 species